CACUUUUUUUUACAUUUUAAUAUUGUAUGAUGUAUUUAAAUGAGCAGUUAUUGUUGCAAACUCCAUUAGAAAUUUGAAUUGAGAUCAGUUUUGGAAUAAGGGAAAGUUUUUCUCAUUUCAGAUUUCAUAAAUAAAAAUAAAAUUUCUUCAAAUAUUUUUUGAGAGGAUUAUUAUUCAACAGCAUAGUGAAUUGCUCAAAGGCAAUUUUUUUUUUUUAAGUUCAUUAGACCACAUUCAUUCUGUGACAGAAACCUAUGCUGUGUCAACUAUUUAAUCACAAUCCAAAUUUAGAGCUGAAUCCAGCUUGAAUGUUGUGUCCAUACUUUCCUCAACUGUUCAGGGUUCAACCUCUGCGGUCGUAUAAAGCUGCGCCCUGCGGAGCAUCUGGUUUAAUAUAGAACUAAUAACAUUCUUGACUAUAGAGAUGUUUGUUUUGGUAAAAAAACUUGCUGUUAAUAUAUUUCAGGUAGAAAUUUAAUGAAAGUUGGGAGGGGGAUUGCAUGUAAUGAUUUGCAGAACAGGAUAUAACCCCCUGGCGCAAUGUGAAAGGUCGUAAGGUUGUAAGUUCCUGGCAUGGAUGGAAUAAGCCUGUAAACUUGGCCUGCUGCAAAUCAAACUGCUUUUUAACACUUUUAUUGCUUGAUUGUUUUUGAUUUAAUGAUAUUGUACAGAUGUUUAACAACUUUAAGGAACCUAAAUAUCUUUAUAAAUAAAUUUAUGUAACCUA
rnacentral:lncRNA from 1 species